rnacentral:rRNA from 1 species
UACGUAGGGUGCGAGCGUUGUCCGGAAUUAUUGGGCGUAAAGGGCGCGUAGGCGGCUAGAUGUGUCAAAGGUGAAAUCCCUCGGCUCAACUGAGGAACUGCCUUUGAAACUGUCUGGCUUGAGGCCGGGAGAGGGUAGCGGAAUUCCUGGUGUAGCGGUGAAAUGCGCAGAUAUCAGGAAGAACACCCGUGGCGAAGGCGGCUCUCUGGGACGGUACUGACGCUGAGACGCGAAAGCGUGGGGAGCGAACAGG